UCCCAAAACAGCGUCGUUUGUAAGAACGCUGUUCAUCUUCUUCUUCUUUAACCAAAGACCGUUUCCAGCAGUAAAGGGUAGUAAUCAUCCGCUCACCUCAGUUAUGAACAUUUUAAUGUUGUCGUCCCUCUGCAUGCCAUCCGUUAACACCGAUCGGACUCUAUAAAACAGAGGAACAACGAAGAAAAAGGGGCGAAAAAAAUCCAGGAGACAAAAGGAGGAAGAAGAGCAGACUUGCAUUCCUCUGUUUCUUCUCAAAGAAACAGAGGAGGCUAAAGAAAAAAGCCACGAACAGGGGGAAAAGGAGGAAGAAAAAGGCAGUGCCAAGGCUGAACAGGGAGAAAAACCGGGGGGGGGGGGAAGCUAAGCCCAGACACGAAAAACCAGGGAGAGACCGGAGAAAAAACUGCUGAAAAACCAAAGCAGAGAAUACACGAAGAAAAGCCAGGGGAAGGAGACAGAGACAGAAACAGGGGAGGAGAACAAAAAGCCAACGUACCCCAGCUUCGCCUUCAUCUUCAAGAACACAAACAUAGUGAGCAGACGAAAAACCAGAGAAGAAAAACGCAAACAAAACCAGAGGAAGAAGCUUAAAAAAACAAAGAGAGGACCGACAUCACCACCGACUGCCUCUUCUCCAGCACCAGCUUCCAAAACCAAAGGAAGAAGCUAAAAAGGAGAGAGGAACAAGCAGCUGACAGAAGGAAUACACCGAUAGAAAGGAAACGAACGAACACAGGGAUCUUGAGGCAAGGAUAGACGACCAAGAAAGACUGAAAAAAAAUCUGGAUCGCCAUUUCCAGCUCCAGAUCAAAUCCCAGUUGAUCUCUACGACACCAUGAGUGCUGUAACUAUACGACCAAAAUGGUUGUCCUUGGCAGCAGCCGCUCAUGGAAACGGCAUGGAAGAGGUGGGUUACCCUCGUGAAUGUCUCAAGAAGACAUCCCAGCGAAUUUGAAGAUUGCUUGUAAAUCUUGAGCUCAGUUCUUUUCAGAUGAUGAGUGGAAUGGAUAUAACAGUUUAAAUACGUAAUAGGAAGUUCCAAAACUUGCUAUAGAAGUCCUCUAAUGGCUAAUGGCUAUCGAAUUUUAUGCAAUUUCUCAUCAUUAUUUUGAGUACUGAAUAGGAAUGGAAGCUAAGCACAGUAGAUCGAUAAGACACCAAAGCUUUGUUCCCCUUGUAAUAAAAUCAAUAAAACAAGCACAUAUGGAUCGCAUCCAAUGCCAAACACAGGUGUUCGUGGGGGACAUAUCCUUGGCAACUUGAUCCUAGGCAUAAAUUUUUUGUUCUCGUGUUUCUUUUUUUAA